rnacentral:rRNA from 1 species
CGAACGGGUGAGUGACACGUGAGUAACCUGCCCUUGACUUCGGGAUAAGCCUGGGAAACUGGGUCUAAUACUGGAUACGACCUCUCAUCGCAUGGUGUGGGGUGGAAAGUUUUUGCGGUUUUGGAUGGACUCGCGGCCUAUCAGCUUGUUGGUGAGGUAAUGGCUCACCAAGGCGACGACGGGUAGCCGGCCUGAGAGGGUGACCGGCCACACUGGGACUGAGACACGGCCCAG